AAACCUUGGCUCCCCACCCCCAGGCCAGCAGACGCCCCCGAGCCGGCUGCUCGCUUUCGCUGCAGCCCCCGCACCAGAGGGGGCUGCGAGACGGGUGCCCGUCGGCGGCCGGGCGGCUAUCCCCUGCUCUGCCCGCCCCCUCCCCCCGAGAAGUGACCCUCGGCUCCCACGUACCCGCUAGGGUCUCUCGCCGGCCCUGCCCUCCGACCCCCGCCGAGCUGAACCCCGCGACUAGCAGCCCCCGCCCUCUCGGCCCUCUCCGGCCCCGGGCCGGCGGACAAAGCUCCGGACACCCUGACCGAACGGUCACCUCCCCCCGCCCCAUCCCGGCCCGCCCGCGGCCCCGUACCUCGGCAUCACGGCCGGGUCCUAGCCCACAUUUGGAAGCAACCGGCACCCACGCAGGUUCUGGAACUUGCCAAGGUUCCAGGGGUUGAGCCCACUCCAUCCUGUCCAAAG
rnacentral:lncRNA from 1 species